ACAAUACAAGUUAAUUGCAGCUCAUUUGGUUUUAUUAUAAUUACAAAUUAUGAUCACUUUAACUGAGCAACAGUGAAAGAAUUCAGAUCCACGUUUUGAAUUCAGACAAUUGAAAAGAGCAGCAUGCUUUUCAGGCUCAGCACCAGCAGAAUCACAUUUGUUACAGUUGUAAAAAUGCUAUAUCAAUAGGAAAGGAAAACAAGAAUAGAUUUAAUUUUUAGAGGAGCAAAAAUGUUUAUCUGAUAGGUUAUGAAAUUUACAGUCAUGAUAAGAAGCAUUUAGGAUCCUUAUUUCACAAAGAAACUGACUGACUGGCACAUUGACUGUUUCUAUUAUCCAGGUGAUAUAUCAACUUUGCAAACUGCACUGAGUUACACUUUUUUCUGUUGGAGGUUUUCUUUAUCAGUCAGCACUGCAGAACUAUUCAGUCUACUUGACUGUGGGUUCACUUGCAUAUACUUUUACAUAUGAAUCUCAGCAUCACAGCUUAGAUUUUUUUUAAACUGUUUGUUUGAAGUUUUAGUCUGUUGCCUUUCAUGAUUUAGUGGUUGUAAUGCAAAUAUCAUAGAACUACCACACAGAUAAACAGGUCACUUUGAGAACAAUGGUUUUGCUGCCAUCUAGGGGUGCAAUGCAUUUCCUCCAUACAAGAUUUAGUGUUGCUCUAUAAGAGUAAUUAUAACACUAAAAGCAUCCCCCUUUCUCAGCUAAAGAGUUUGACAGAAGGAAUAGUUGAAGCAACAGUCGUCCUCUCCCAGUCACAGUGAACAGCAGGCGCCUUUCUGCACUUACAUCAGUAUUUGCCUUCUAACUGUACUAUCUUGUUUUGCCAACAAAAAUGAUGAAACCUUUGCCAUAUGUUGAAAUAAGGAUGGAUCAUUUCCCCAUAUGACAUUUCUCAUCCAACUACAGGGGGAAUAAUUGCCCUGUUUUCCUUAAGUUGACAAACUUCUGUUUAUGUUCUCAUAUUUAUGUAAAGAGAGGUCAGUCAUAAACUAUGGUGGUGUGCAUAAUGUAGAUCAGGAUGGGAAUUUAUUAUAAUUUCAGACAUAGAUUGAAUGCAGAUAAGUGGCCAAAAACCCAGCUUAAUCAUGACUGUAAAAAAGUCACUGUAGCAGCGGGUAAAUGUGCCAUAUUGUUUCAUCUUUGUAAGCUGGAUAUGUGUUAUUGGUGGAAUGAAAUAUCCCAUAUAACUGUCUGACUUGUCAAAGUUGUGCACAAGCCUAUCACAGUCGAGACAGCGAGAUGAUGUGACAACGUUUCUAAGAUGAUUGUUUUUGACUCAUCUGAUGUGUGUGGUUCAGGAGCAAGAAAAUGUGACAUCUUUUAGUAUUCUGUUGUGGUCCAUUUGGUACGUUUUUAUUUGUCAAAUGUGUGGUCAACUUUUUGAAGUCAUGCAGAUCGCUCUUAUCAAAACAGUAUUAUUUUUGCAAGCAAGAAAGAAGGUACAGUGGCUAAAGUUUUCAGACCCCCUUAACUUUUUACACACUUCAUUAUGUGGAAUUUCAAAUGGAUAAAAUUACCAUUUUUUUCCCGACAAUAUACACCCAGUAGUCGUGGCAUAGAACAUCUGUGGAGAGACCUGAAGAUGGCAGUUGACAGACGUUUCCCAUCCAAUCCGAUGGAGCCUGAAAGGAUCUGCCAGGAAGAAUAGGAUAAACUUCAGGAGUGCGAAGCUUUAGAGACUUACCUAAGAAGACUCAAAGCUAAAAUUGCUGCCAAAAGGGCUUCUACAAAGUACUGAAUCAAGGUUCUGAAAACUUAAUUUUUUUUUUAAUACAUGUUCACUUUGUUGUUAUUGAGUGUAGAUUGAUUGGCAAAAUGGCAUUUUAUCCAUUUAAAACACCACAAAGAAUGCAAGAAGGGAAGGUCUGAAUACUUUCUGAAGCCACUUUGUUUUGUCACAGUAGCAUACCGUACAUUUUUUUCUUUAAGCAAGUUGUCAAUAAAGCAUGUUUUUAACAGCAAAAGAUGUAUCUCUGUCUACCAAGUACAGCUGUUGGUUGUUUUAUCAGAAAUGAGGGUAUUGAGUGCUGGUCAGCAUGAUUGUGUUGUGCUGAAAUCAGUCUCCCAAUAUUAAUAUUUUUCUGAAAUCAAUAUGAAUCAAAACAUGUCAAAUGUGCUAAUGAAUUAUUGCAACAAAAAUAUACAACUAGAUAUCCA